CUUAAGCAUAUCAAUAAGCGGA
rnacentral:rRNA from 1 species